rnacentral:rRNA from 1 species
CCCUUAGAUGUUCUGGGCCGCACGCGUGCUACACUGAGUGGAUCAGCGGGUCAGGUUGCGCGAAAGCGUUUCCUAAUCUUUAAAUCCGCUCGUGAUGGGGAUUGACGGUUGCAAUUUUCUGUCAUGAACGAGGAAUACCUUGUAAGCGCGGGUCAUCAUCCCGCGCUGAAUACGUCCCUGCCCUUUGUACACACCGCCCGUCGCUCCUACCGAUUGGAUGAUCCGGUGAGCUAUUCGGACUUUCGCAUUGUCGAUUUUCGGCUUUACGAGGGAAAGUCUCGCGAACCUUAUCAUCUAGAGGAAGGAGAAGUCGUAACA